UUUGCUCUGCAAUAGGAUAUGACAACGGGAUGGCCUAGGGCCGCCCUGGAUCCAGUUUAUUCCACAUGCCAGAGUUUACCACUCCCCAGGUAUCUCUCAGCUUCCUCUUUGCUCUCUCCAUCUUGCAUAUGGAAGAUAGAAGUUGAUGACCUAAGAAGACAGAGGGGUAUGGGAUGAUUUCCUUUGUGCCUCAACAAAGAGUAUCACAAUCAAAAUGAAUUACACAUCAACUAUAGUCAAUAAAAUAAAUGAAUGAAAAGCUUCAAAAAUAACAACAAAAGAUCAAAAGGCCAGGAGUUGAUAUAAAGGAAUUCCCAGGAAUCGAGGAAGGAGAGAACUAAAGAUCACCUGAAGCUUUGUGAGAUCCAGUGAGCCCAUGUAGAGUUUUGGCACUUGGUGUCCACACAGAGUCUCGGGGGAGAAUCCCUCUCUCACUCUCAGAUGAGGUAUGUGCUCUACUCUCCACCCUCCAGUCCAAGAGUGGGAAGUUAACUCCUUCCACUCUGACCACAGGUGACUCAAGAGUAGACACGCUAGACGGGACCCCUGCUGUGUGUAGCUAUCAAGUACACAAAUGAGAAAAACAUCCAACAAGAUACUUUCUAAGAGAGGCAUGGGCGAUAAGAAAAUAAAAGUGCUUGUUACAAAGAGAGCCCAAGAGUAUUCUUU